CUACGUGCCAGCAGCCGCGGUAAUACGGAAGGUUCGGGCGUUAUCCGGAUUUAUUGGGUUUAAAGGGAGCGUAGGCCGGAGAUUAAGUGUGUUGUGAAAUGUAGACGCUCAACGUCUGACUUGCAGCGCAUACUGGUUUCCUUGAGUACGCACAACGUUGGCGGAAUUCGUCGUGUAGCGGUGAAAUGCUUAGAUAUGACGAAGAACUCCGAUUGCGAAGGCAGCUGACGGGAGCGCAACUGACGCUUAAGCUCGAAGGUGCGGGUAUCGAACAGGAUUAGAUACCCUGGUAGUCCGCACAGUAAACGAUGGAUGCCCGCUGUUGGUACCUGGUAUCAGCGGCUAAGCGAAAGCAUUAAGCACUCCGCCUGGGGAGUACGACCGCAAGGUUGAAACUCAAAGGAAUUGACGGGGGCCCGCACAAGCGGUGGAGCAUGUGGUUUAAUUCGAAGCAACGCGAAGAACCUUACCAGGUCUUGACAUCCCUCUGACCGCUCUAGAGAUAGAGCUUUC
rnacentral:rRNA from 1 species